rnacentral:rRNA from 1 species
UACAGAGGGGGCAAGCGUUAUUCGGAAUUAUUGGGCGUAAAGGGCGCGUAGGCGGCUUGGCAAGUGGAUGGUGAAAUCCCUCGGCUUAACCGAGGAACUGCCGUCCAAACUGCUUAGCUUGAGACCGGGAGAGGUGAGUGGAAUUCCCAGUGUAGCGGUGAAAUGCGUAGAUAUUGGGAGGAACACCAGUGGCGAAGGCGGCUCACUGGACCGGUACUGACGCUGAGGCGCGAAAGCGGUGGGGAGCAAACGGGG